rnacentral:tRNA from 1 species
GCCACCGUAGCUCAAUCGGCAGAGCGAUCGCUUCGUAAGCGAUAGGUUGUGCGUUCAAGUCGCAUCGGUGGCUCCU